rnacentral:lncRNA from 1 species
AAAGAAAAUAAAAAUAGCACAAAUGAGUUUUAAAUAAUAAACAGAAUAGUUACUUCGAACAUUAUGAUUUUUUUUUGUAGGUCAAUUCAUUGCGAUUAUAAUUGAACUAAAUCUCUGUCCUUAAAUCUAUGUAUAUAUGCACCACGGCAUUGAUUUUUCCAAUAUCUGUUUACGUGUAUAAAGUGCAUGCAGACGGUAUUCACUCGUUUUCUUUUUGGUCAGCAAGCGUGGAUUUCCAACUAGACAACUAAAGAAUCCAAGGAAGGCAAGUCAGACGUGGGGAAAAGUGGGAGUGUGCUGGCUGAGACCAUGUUCUAUGUUCCAGCUGAGAACCGAGAAAAGAAAGCUGCUUUGCAGCUGGAGAGAAAAAAAUAGGAGCUGUAAAGUGGAGGACAGGGGACAGCACGAGGGGGAGAGAAGAAGCACAGCGGAAAAGAGAGUGACAGAGCAUAGUCCACACGGAAGGCAGAAAAUAAAAGGAAAUCAGAAGGCAGCGAGGCUGCCAGAAAGAAAGAAAGAAAAAAAUAUAAAAAAAGGAAGGAAGUAGCGGGAGAAGGGAGUAGAGGGGGGAGCUGCCCUUUGGCAGCUCGCAGACGUGGAGAACGGGAAGAGAGAGGACAGCAGUGGGCUGUCUUGGCAGCCCAGAGGGCAGUGAGCCUCGGGGAGAAAACAGAGAAGCAAAGCUGCCUUUGCAGCUGGGUAGAGAGCAAGCACAGAAAAACUGUGCGGAACGUCAGCAAGUCAGAGGAAGAGAGGGAGGUGAGGACAGCCAAGAGAGUUCAGAGGAAAGAACAUAUAAAAAAACUGCUUUGCGCAGCGUGACAGGGGAGGGCAGUGAGCCUCGGGGAGGAAGACAGACAGAAGCAGCAAGCACUCUCCUCUCUCGGUUAAAUCUUUCCCACUUAUAUUUUACUUUUGGUUUAUUUGUGUUUUAAUAAUGUGUAACUAAUUUUAUUUUGGCUAGAGGUUAAUUCAAAGCCAUGAAUAUAUUUGUAAUAUGAAUUGAUUACCUUCGGUUGUGAUUUCAUAAGUUGUGAUUUCAAUUUACUUAUCCGUUCGUAUAAAAACUGAUUUGUGUAUGUUAGUUGAGAGUGCACGCUUAAUUUACAUGCAUGAAUUUGAUGCUAGAAUAUAAGUGAAUUUCACCUAAUCGUUAUGAACUUAUUUUCACAAGUAGUAAAGGUUGCUAGUCACAAUCACGUUAAGUAAAUUCUUGGCAAGAGUAUCAUGCUUUUCAUAGUUACGAAUGCCUCGUCAAUGCUUAUAGUUUUCACAAAGUUUAAUGAUCUUUGAUUGUAUCUCUAUUGUGCUUUUCACGUAGGGGACUUUUGAAGAAUGUUUUGAAUUGUUGUAUGCGUUUUCCCGUCCAAUUCAAUAACUUAAGGAAAACUUGAAGAUUAAAAAAGUGCUGUUCACGGUUAAUCUGGAGUAUUGAAAUUCACAAUUUAUUGAAAGAACAACUGAAAAUUAAUUUAGGUUGCAUAUGUGUCAUGUGUGGAGAAGAACCCUCUAGCUAGUCUGUCAUUUAUCAUUUUACCUUAAUUUUAUGUUUUUGUCAAUUCUGUAAUUUAAUUAAGUUUAAUUUACUUUUCAUCAAAACCAAACACCCAUCCAUUAUUAAAUUAUAUUAUUUAGUUAGUUUUCUUUAUUGUUAGUCUUUUUAAUUUAAUUUCCGUCCAUUUCAGUUCCUAGUGUUUAAUUUAAUUGUUUUCAUUAUUUUGAGUCAUUUUAAGUGUGUUUCGAGUUAUUAGAGUUUUUAGCCUAGUUUUGUGUCCUUGAGUCUUAUUUAAUAUUUUUAAGUUAAUUUAAUAGAUUAGCAAUCCCUCCUAAUCCCCGGCCUAGAACGAUACCCUACUUACAUCUAUACUACAAUUGUCAAAAAGAGGGUUUAAUUUUGUGUGUUAACUUAUUUUACGCAUCAAAUUUUGGCGCCGUUGCCGGGGAUUAGUAACUUUGCUAAUCCUUUUUAUUUUUGUUUUUGUUAUGUUUUAUAUUGGUGUUUGUGUAUUUUACUUUUGAUAUUUGAUUUAUUUUUCUUUCUUUGAUUUUAGGUUCAAUUGGAGCCGAGGGAAAUUUAAAGGAAAGAUGCGUCCGGCUAAAGACGUUAAAUCAAGCGCUUCUUGGGAGGCAACCCAAGCAUUCAACGAAGGGAGACUUUGGAAUCGCUAACCCAAUCAGAUUUGCAUUUUUACACCCUUAUCUUUAAUGCUUUCAUUUUGUUUUGUUUAGUUAAUUGUGUUAUUUGGUUGAUUUCUGUGAGUUUGUGUUUGUGUUAUUUAGUUUAAGUGUGGGGGAAGGUUAACCAAAGUCUCUUUACAUUAAUUUACAUUUAAAAAGAAAAAAAAAAAGAUAAAAUUUAAAAUUAAUGAUAAAAAAAAAAUAUACAUAAAAAAAAAAAUACAUAAAAAAAAAAAAAAAAAAAAAUUUAAAAAAAAAAAAAAUUUAAAAAUUAAAAAAAAAAAAAUAAAAAAAAAAUAAAAAAAGUACAAAUAUUUUACAAUGAUGUAAACUAAUAGUAUUCAUUGGUCGGGUGGUGCUUCAGUAGUAGGCGGGGCUUCAGCAGUCGGCGGGGCCACAGAAGGAGGAGGCGGCAGAGGUUGAUCAGUUGGAGCUUCACUACGCGGUGCCGCUCCAGAAGACGAAGGCAGAUGUUGUUGGAACAAACCCACAAACCUCCGAUGAUCAAGUAAAAUUUGACCAUCGGUGUCCUGCAUCUGGUCAAUCUUCCUCUUCAUGCUGGUGGCAUAGCUGUGUGCGAGCUUGUGCAAUUCCUUAUUCUCAUGCUUGAGCCCUUUAAUCUCUUGCUUGAGACUCUGUAUUUCAGCCACCAAGGAUUCAACGUGACGGGUUCGGGCAUAUAGGCGUUGGGCCAUGUUGGAUACGGAACCCGCACACUGCACACUGAGAGCCAGAGACUCCUUGACCGCCAAUUCAUCAGACCGCCUUGCGAGCAGUCUGUUAUCUCUGGGAGUGACAAGGUUUCGGGCCACCACCGCAGCUGUCAUAUCAUUUUUUAUCACCGAAUCCCCCACGGUAAGGGGACCGGUAGGGGAUAUGAAGGAUGGCCGCCAUAUGUUGUCUGGUGAAGGCGGAGCUGCCUUUUCACCAAUGUUCAAGUCAAAACGACGAUCAGAAGGGCCAGACAUUUUUCAGAGGUGGUAAAGAAAGAAGAGAGUCGGAAUGAUCAAGAUUAAACAAGUGCAAGAAUGGAGUGUUUACAGGAGGGUACUCAAGUGUGUUGUGGAACAAAAUUAACGCCUCUAUAAAAAGAAGAAAUCAAAGAGGCGCUCCUCAGAGAAGCGUCAUCUCGCAAAUCGAAGAGUCGGGGCUCCUUUCUCAAAAGCCGGAUUCUUUUCUCAAAAGAGGAGUUUCCGUUCUCAAAAGCCGGAUUCUUUUCUCAAAAGAGGCGUUCAUUUCUUAAAAGUUGGGCUUGCUCAGAAACCACGAGCCGAACCCCGGAUUUCGCAAGAUCAAUUCGUCCAGACGUGUUGUCACCCGUCACACACACGCAAACUCAGCUCUGCGAAAAUCACGGGCAGUCUGUCGAAGUGCCGAUUCCAACCAUCUGUCUCUCUCAGCCUAGUCAGCACUUGUCACAUGCAACUGGCAGCUUUGCGGAAAUUACGGGCAGCUUUUGUCAGAAAGCGCGUAAUUUGUAUUCUUCACCCAUCCACCGGCUGCCGACACUAAGUGAGAGAACAGUUCCGGUUGUGAAGACAAGUCCUAUAAGUUUCUACCUUCGCCUUCCACAGCAAAAGCACACUCUCUCAGCACACCCUCUCAACACCUCUUCAUCUCCGAAAAUGCAUUCCCAAAGAAUCCUCUCGAGUCACUCUGUGUUCCUCAUUCCUUGGGAUACUCCUGCGAACAACCCAUUCAAAGCAAAAGUAUUUCAUAUCAUAAAGGUUGAAAGCAAGAGUAUCUCAUAUCAUGCUUUUCUCCAUGUCCUUCUCCUUGUCUUUGUUUUCCGACAAGGAGAAAGAGAGCAAUCAGCCAGCAUUUGGUAUCAAUCUUCCAAUCUGGAGCCAACUGCCUGGAACCCUUUCCUGAUUGCUUACCUAGCCUUGCUCUCGAGUACUCAUCUUCAUCAUUUUAUGCUUUCUCUUCGUCUACCACAUCUGCCUGGGGGACAGUAAGGGAAGUGAAAAUGAUACCUCGAAGCAUGUGGAGACAAUUCAGCUAGGGACAAGGAGAAAGAAAGCAAGAGGUGGGCACUUGGAAAGAUUGAAGAAAGAAAUAAGGACCAACACCUUUCCCUCGUGCCUGCCCGUUGUGCAGAAGAAACAAGCAGAGAAGAAUGCAGCUUGCACAAUCAUCCCAGCGGAAGGAGUCCGAACUGAGGAACUAGAGAAGCUGCCACAUCUGCUUGGAGAACAAAUAAGGAACUGCAACAUUCCCAAAGAGCAAAGCUCCGCCGUACAAUAUCAUCAAAUAGUAAAAAGCUAAGUGUCACCCUGUUCAAGAGGAAAGCUGUGGAAAGUCAACAAGCACGACCAAUGAUUACUUAUUAGUUUUAUUCAUUAUCUUUUAUCGUAAUUUUCAAUUUUUCGUUUGCAAUUUUUUUUUAAUUAAUUUUCUUGCGUACUUAACUGAAUUAUUUCUUUUCUUUGCAGGAACUUUUGGUUAUUUCCACCCUUGAAGUUGAUUGCAGAAUUUUAGCUUGGGGGUCAUCGCUUGAUUUUACUGCAAAUUAGGGAAGUUUUCAGUCCAAUUGCGUUAUUUUGUUUCUUAUUAUUUAUUUAUUUUAUUUUAUUUUUUUAUUUGCAUUAUAGUGUUUUCUGACAUUGGGGACAAUGUCAAGUUUAAGUGUGGGGGUAGAAAUCUCUAGAAUUUCAUUUGUUUCUGUGUUGUUAGUUUUUGUUUUCUUAAAAAAUAAAAAUAAAAAAAUAAAAAAAUAAAAAAAUCGAAAAAUUUAAAAAUCCAAAAAUAUUGUCUUGUUUCCCUUAUUGUUCUGAAUCAGAUUUUUGUUAGUUUCCCGACCCAAUGAUAUAAUUGGAUCAAAAAUUUGAACCAUGAUCAUCAAGAACUUAGUUAACAUGUGUUUGGUGAAAUUCCUAAUUCUCUUGUUAGUUUUGUACAUGUUUGAUCAUCUUUGAAAAACCAAAUGCACAUAGCCUUGUUAAUGUGAAACUAAAGUAUAACUUAAAGCUUCAUAUGUGAAUUUAGUGACCAUAUACAUCCUAUGUGAGUUUUUGAGCCUAUUGAAAGUGUGUGCAUUUUUCAUAUACUCCUAUUCUUCAUGUGUGAUGAACUUAUGUGAGAUACAUCUCUAGAACUUGCGUAACGAUCUUUCAAAAUGUUUGUCAUUGAUUGCAUAAACUUGGAAAUGAUAGAGGCAUUAGGUUUACCACCAUGGCCCAAAUAACCAUGUUUCCCAAAGAAAAAUGAUAUCAUUAGAUUGCCAAUUUGAGCCGUGUAUGUUGAGCCUUUUAUUUCUUAUCACCAGAUAUGUCUACCCUUAUACCUGAAACAUUUUUCCUUACCCUUUCCAAGCGAGCAAUGCGAGAUUGUCUUAUGAGAAAUGUUUGUGAAGUACUUUGAAGGUGUUUGGCAAAAGAAUAAGUGUGGGGGUAUUUCAUGUUUGUAUUAAAAAAAAUUAAAAAAAAAAAAGAGAAAAGAGAAGAAAAAGAAAGAUUGUAUACAAAAGAAAAUAAAAAGUUUUUUUUAAAAGUUUCAGUUUAAGGGUAUGGUUGGAGGUGCUAGAAGAAUCGCUGAAAAAAUUGAGUUCUUAUAAAUCUAAACAAAAGAAUUGCUUGCAAUAUAGCUUGGAACUUGUGUUUUCCUAUUCUUUCAUUUCAAUAACCCUAUCCCUAAGCCUCAUUACAUCCAAUAAAAGUCCUCUUGAUUUAAGUUUUGCAAUUAUGACUGUGGAGAAGUGAUCUUUAUGCAAGCUUAUGGUAGAAAAUUCACAUUUGAUUCUUUGAGCGAAACACAUUUAAACUAAACACAUGUGUGAUUGAGUGAAUAUUCAGUGAGAAGGUCGCUAGUUUGCAUAUGAUGAUUUUAAAAAUAAAAACUUGAAAUUGCAUUAGCAUGGCUAUCUCACACACUACACUUCAAGGAUGAUUCAAAGAUUACUGCUAAUAUUUGAAUAAGAAAGAUGAACUUGGAUUAACUUGUUUGGUGCUAGCUAUGGUUCUUGAUGAUUUGUUUUCUUGAAUGAAAUUCUAUGAGAGUCACAUAGGGGGAAACUAAUGUUUUUCAUGUUAUUACUUUUCAUGUUUUCUUUGUUUUGCUCGAGGACUAGCAAAAGUUAAGUGUGGGGGUAUUUGAUCGGAUCAUAUUUAUAUAUAUUUUUACUUCAAAUUUACCCGUCUUUUCUUAGUUAGUUCUUUAUAUUUUUGAGCUAUUUACGUUAUUUUUGUGUUUAUAGGAUUUGUUAUGCAAAGAAAAUAAAAAUAGCACAAAUGAGUUUUAAAUAAUAAACAGAAUAGUUACUUCGAACAUUAUGAUUUUUUUUUGUAGGUCAAUUCAUUGCGAUUAUAAUUGAACUAAAUCUCUGUCCUUAAAUCUAUGUAUAUAUGCACCACGGCAUUGAUUUUUCCAAUAUCUGUUUACGUGUAUAAAGUGCAUGCAGACGGUAUCACUCGUUUUCUUUUUGGUCAGCAAGCGUGGAUUUCCAACUAGACAACUAAAGAAUCCAAGGAAGGCAAGUCAGACGUGGGGAAAAGUGGGAGUGUGCUGGCUGAGACCAUGUUCUAUGUUCCAGCUGAGAACCGAGAAAAGAAAGCUGCUUUGCAGCUGGAGAGAAAAAAAUAGGAGCUGUAAAGUGGAGGACAGGGGACAGCACGAGGGGGAGAGAAGAAGCACAGCGGAAAAGAGAGUGACAGAGCAUAGUCCACACGGAAGGCAGAAAAUAAAAGGAAAUCAGAAGGCAGCGAGGCUGCCAGAAAGAAAGAAAGAAAAAAAUAUAAAAAAGGAAGGAAGUAGCGGGAGAAGGGAGUAGAGGGGGGAGCUGCCCUUUGGCAGCUCGCAGACGUGGAGAACGGGAAGAGAGAGGACAGCAGUGGGCUGUCUUGGCAGCCCAGAGGGCAGUGAGCCUCGGGGAGAAAACAGAGAAGCAAAGCUGCCUUUGCAGCUGGGUAGAGAGCAAGCACAGAAAAACUGUGCGGAACGUCAGCAAGUCAGAGGAAGAGAGGGAGGUGAGGACAGCCAAGAGAGUUCAGAGGAAAGAACAUAUAAAAAAACUGCUUUGCGCAGCGUGACAGGGGAGGGCAGUGAGCCUCGGGGAGGAAGACAGACAGAAGCAGCAAGCACUCUCCUCUCUCGGUUAAAUCUUUCCCACUUAUAUUUUACUUUUGGUUUAUUUGUGUUUUAAUAAUGUGUAACUAAUUUUAUUUUGGCUAGAGGUUAAUUCAAAGCCAUGAAUAUAUUUGUAAUAUGAAUUGAUUACCUUCGGUUGUGAUUUCAUAAGUUGUGAUUUCAAUUUACUUAUCCGUUCGUAUAAAAACUGAUUUGUGUAUGUUAGUUGAGAGUGCACGCUUAAUUUACAUGCAUGAAUUUGAUGCUAGAAUAUAAGUGAAUUUCACCUAAUCGUUAUGAACUUAUUUUCACAAGUAGUAAAGGUUGCUAGUCACAAUCACGUUAAGUAAAUUCUUG